rnacentral:rRNA from 1 species
UACGUAGGGGGCAAGCGUUGUCCGGAAUCAUUGGGCGUAAAGCGCGUGUAGGCGGCUCGAUAAGUCUGCUGUGAAAGUCAAGGGCUCAACCCUUGAAUGCCGGCCGAUACUGUCAGGCUAGAGUCCGGAAGAGGCGAGUGGAAUUCCUGGUGUAGCGGUGAAAUGCGCAGAUAUCAGGAGGAACACCGAUGGCGAAGGCAGCUCGCUGGGACGGUACUGACGCUGAGGCGCGAAGGCGUGGGGAGCGAACGGG